GGACUUAACUUCCGGGGCGUGCAAGGCGAUACGGGCUGACUUUGAGUGCUGUAGGGAAGACUGGAAUUCCUGGUGUAGCGGUGAAAUGCGCAGAUAUCAGGAGGAACACCGAUGGCGAAGGCAGGUCUCUGGGCAGUAACUGACGCUGAGGAGCGAAAGCAUGGGUAGCGAACAGGAUUAGAUACCCUGGUAGUCCAUGCCGUAAACGGUGGGCGCUAGGUGUAGGGGGCUUCCACGUCUUCUGUGCCGUAGCUAACGCAUUAAGCGCCCCGCCUGGGGAGUACGGCCGCAAGGCUAAAACUCAAAGGAAUUGACGGGGGCCCGCACAAGCGACGGAGCAUGUGGAUUAAUUCGAUGCAACGCGAAGAACCUUACCUGGGCUUGACAUAUAGCGGAUCGCUGCAGAGAUGUAGUUUCCCUUUGUGGUCGUUAUACAGGUGGUGCAUGGUUGUCGUCAGCUCGUGUCGUGAGAUGUUGGGUUAAGUCCCGCAACGAGCGCAACCCUUGUCUUAUGUUGCCAGCAUUUGGUUGGGGACUCAUGAGAGACUGCCGGGGUCAACUCGGAGGAAGGUGGGGAUGACGUCAAAUCAUCAUGCCCCUUAUGUCCAGGGCUUCACACAUGCUACAAUGGUCGGUACAACGCGCAGCGACACUGUGAGGUGGAGCGAAUCGCUGAAAGCCGGCCUUAGUUCGGAUUGGGGUCUGCAACUCGACCCCAUGAAGUCGGAGUCGCUAGUAAUCGCAGAUCAGCAACGCUGCGGUGAAUACGUUCCCGGGCCUUGCACUCACCGCCCGUC
rnacentral:rRNA from 1 species